rnacentral:rRNA from 1 species
GACGAACGCUGGCGGCGUGCUUAACACAUGCAAGUCGAACGGAAAGGCCUGCUUUCCCUUGUGGAUUGCGGGUACUCGAGUGGCGAACGGGUGAGUAACACGUGAGUGAUCUGCCCCCAACUUGGGUAUAAGCCUGGGAAACUGGGUCUAAUUCCCGAUAGGACUGCAGGGUGGUGCCUGUGGUGGAAAACGAUUUUCUAGUGGUUGGGGAUGAGCUCGCGGCCUAUCAGCUUGUUGGUGGGGUAAUGGCCUACCAAGGCGGCGACGGGUAGCCGGCCUGAGAGGGUGGACGGCCACAUUGGGACUGAGACACGGCCCAGACUCCUACGGGAGGCAGCAGUGGGGAAUAUUGGACAAUGGGCGGAAGCCUGAUCCAGCAACGCCGCGUGAGGGAUGACGGCCUUCGGGUUGUAAACCUCUUUCAGUACCGACGAAGCGCAAGUGACGGUAGGUACAGAAGAAGCACCGGCCAACUACGUG